CCGUUGGUACGCACGACGACUGACGUUGC
rnacentral:sRNA from 1 species